rnacentral:lncRNA from 1 species
GGGCGCGUGGAGACGGCGAGGCAAGUGGGGGAAAGGAGAGAUGGGGGCUUGAGCUUUAUAGGGACGCGCUCGGGGCACUUCGGGAAGGCCGGGGUGAGCGGGUGCAGGGAUUGCGGCGGCGGGGUGUCCGGCGCGGACUCGGCGCGGGCGGUUUCCAAACGAAGACGAAGACCCUGACGCGUGGCUCCCAUGCUUUAGUGGCAGCGGACGCGCGCGCGCGUGGUCGGUUUUCUUUUUUUUUUUCUUUUCUUUUCCCCUUUUUCUCAUUUCUUUGAUAACUUUUGAUUUUGAACUCCAAAUAGGUCCAAAUAAAUUUCAGAAAAUUUGUGACCAUGAUUCAACUUUUGGGAGUGAUUUCCCCUCAAAAUAAAAUAUAUAAAAAUAAAUUUGCCCUAUAAAUGCCUUUAGGGCUAUAUAACUAUUUAAAUAAAAUACUUUUUCAACUCUAAAUACUUUUCCAAAAAUUGUGGGAUAGCUUAUAUAUGCAAUAAACCCCUUUUAUAAAUAAACGUUAUUGGUUUGAAGAUCCAAAGCUCAAAUGAGUGAAAACCCUAGGGUUUAAAUUGAAAUAAAAUCUUUUAAAGCCUUUUGAGAUUCAAAUUUGAAUUCAAAUGUGCAAUUUGUGGCAUGAUGCUCAUGGAUGCAAUGCACAUGUAAAAGGUUGAAAUUUUUGGGAUGUUACAGACCUAACCCCUUAAGAUGAAUCUCGUCCUCGAGAUUAGGUGUGGUCAGCAAAGAGGUGUGGGUGGUCUUCUCCAAGAUCAUCUUCGCCUUCCCAAUUGGCUUCCUCUUCGGUGUGAUGGUCCCACUGAACUUUGCAGAACUUGAUAGUUUUGGAUCGGGUCUGUCUAUCAGCUGUAUCCAAGAUUCUGAUCGGUUUCUCCUCGUAGGUGAGGUCACUUUGCAGUUGGACUUCUUCUAGUGGAAUUGUAUCCCUCAAGGGUGUGUCGGCCAUCUCAGGAUGACACUUCUUCAGUUGUGAUACAUGGAAGACAUUGUGGACAUUGGACAGUGCUUCCGGUAAAUCCAACUUGUAGGCUACCUCUCCUUGUCGCGACAAGAUCUUGAAAGGUCCAAUAAAUUAGGGUGCUAACUUUCCUUUUAUACCAAAUCUCUUCGCCCCGCGUAUCGGUGAUACUCUGAGAUAUGCUCUAUCUUCAGCCUCGUAGGUAACUUCCCUACGUUCGGUAUCCGCGUAACUUUUCUGCCUUG